rnacentral:rRNA from 1 species
UACGUAGGGUGCAAGCGUUGUCCGGAAUUAUUGGGCGUAAAGGGCUCGUAGGCGGUUUGUCGCGUCGGGAGUGAAAUCCCGGAGCUCAACUCCGGGUCUGCAGUCGAUACGGGCGGACUCGAGUUCGGCAGGGGAGACUGGAAUUCCUGGUGUAGCGGUGAAAUGCGCAGAUAUCAGGAGGAACACCGGUGGCGAAGGCGGGACUCUGGGCAGUAACUGACGCUGGAGGAGCGAAAGCGUGGGGAGCGAACAGG